rnacentral:tRNA from 1 species
AGCAGCGUGGCUUAGUGGCAAGAGCCCGGGCUUGGGAGUCAGAGAUCAUGGGUUCGAAUCCUACGCUGCCA